CCUACGGGAGGCUGCAGUAGGGAAUCUUCCACAAUGGGCGAAAGCCUGCUGGAGCAACGCCGCGUGGGUGACGAAGGUCUUCGGACCGUAAAACCCUGUUGUUAGAGAAGAAAGUGCGUGAGAGUAACUGUUCCCGUUUCGACGGUAUCUAAACCGAAAGCUACGUCUAACUACGUGCCAGCGGCCGCGUUAAUACGUCGGUGGCAAGCGUUAUCCGGUUGUAUUGGGCGUAAAGGGAACGCAGGCGGUCUGUUACGUCUGAUGUGAAAGCCUUCGGCUUAACCGGAGUAGUGCAUUGGAGACUGGGAGACUGGAGUGCAGAAGAGGAGAGUGGAACGCCAUGUGUAGCGGUGAAAUGCGUAGAUAUAUGGAAGAACACCAGUGGCGAAGGCGGCUCUCUGGUCUGUAACUGACGCUGAGGUUCGAAAGCGUGGGUAGCAAACAGGAUUAGAUACCCGGGUAGUC
rnacentral:rRNA from 1 species